AGUUUGAUCCUGGCUCAGGAUGAACGCUGGCGGCGUGCCUAAUACAUGCAAGUCGAACGAAUCUCUUUUAGAGAUGAGUGGCGAACGGGUGAGUAAUACAUAGGUAACCUGCCCCUGUGCGGGGGAUAACAGGAGGAAACUCCUGCUAAUACCGCAUAGCCAUGAGCACCGCAUGGAGCUCAUGCCAAAUAUCCUUUCGGGGAUAGCGCAGGGAUGGACCUAUGGCGCAUUAGCUGGUUGGCGGGGCAACGGCCCACCAAGGCAACGAUGCGUAGCCGGCCUGAGAGGGCGGACGGCCACAUUGGGACUGAGACACGGCCCAGACUCCUACGGGAGGCAGCAGUAGGGAAUUUUCGGCAAUGGGGGAAACCCUGACCGAGCAACGCCGCGUGAGCGAAGAAGGCCUUCGGGUCGUAAAGCUCUGUUGUAAAGGAAGAACGGCGCAUACAGGAAAUGGUAUGCGAGUGACGGUACUUUACCAGAAAGCCACGGCUAACUACGUGCCAGCAGCCGCGGUAAUACGUAGGUGGCGAGCGUUAUCCGGAAUCAUUGGGCGUAAAGAGGGAGCAGGCGGCCGCAAGGGUCUGUGGUGAAAGACCGAAGCUAAACUUCGGUAAGCCAUGGAAACCGGGCGGCUAGAGUGCGGAAGAGGAUCGUGGAAUUCCAUGUGUAGCGGUGAAAUGCGUAGAUAUAUGGAGGAACACCAGUGGCGAAGGCGACGGUCUGGGCCGCAACUGACGCUCAUUCCCGAAAGCGUGGGGAGCAAAUAGGAUUAGAUACCCUAGUAGUCCACGCCGUAAACGAUGGUCACUAAGUGUCGGGGGUCAAACCCCGGUGCUGCAGUCAACGCAAUAAGUGACCCGCCUGAGUAG
rnacentral:rRNA from 1 species